UACGUAGGGUGCAAGCGUUAAUCGGAAUUACUGGGCGUAAAGCGUGCGCAGGCGGUGAUGUAAGACAGUUGUGAAAUCCCCGGGCUCAACCUGGGAACUGCAUCUGUGACUGCAUCGCUGGAGUACGGUAGAGGGGGAUGGAAUUCCGCGUGUAGCAGUGAAAUGCGUAGAUAUGCGGAGGAACACCGAUGGCGAAGGCAAUCCCCUGGACCUGUACUGACGCUCAUGCACGAAAGCGUGGGGGAGCAAACAGG
rnacentral:rRNA from 1 species